UCUUGCUGAGAUUGUGGAGAUCCC
rnacentral:siRNA from 1 species